rnacentral:rRNA from 1 species
AGAGUUUGAUCCUGGCUCAGGAUGAACGCUAGCGGCAGGCCUAAUACAUGCAAGUCGAACGGAAUAUAGUUUUCGGAUUAUAUUUAGUGGCGCACGGGUGAGUAACACGUACACAACUUACCCUCAAGAGGGGGAUAGCCUUGGGAAACUGAGCGUAAUACCCCAUAGUAUUAUUGAACGGCAUCGUUUGAUAAUUAAAGCUACGGCGCUUGAGGAUAGAUGUGCGUCUGAUUAGCUAGUUGGUAAGGUAACGGCUUACCAAGGCGACGAUCAGUAGGGGGCGUGAGAGCGUGGCCCCCCACACGGGUACUGAGACACGGACCCGACUCCUACGGGAGGCAGCAGUAAGGAAUAUUGGUCAAUGCCCGGAAGGGUGAACCAGCCAUGCCGCGUGAAGGAUGACUGCCCUCUGGGUUGUAAACUUCUUUUGGAUGGGACGAAAAAACGGGAUUUAUCCUGGACUGACGGUACCAUCAGAAUAAGCACCGGCUAACUCCGUGCCAGCAGCCGCGGUAAUACGGAGGGUGCAAGCGUUAUCCGGAAUCACUGGGUUUAAAGGGUGCGUAGGCGGUUUUAUAAGUCAAAAAA